UUGGAGGGCAAGUCUGGUGCCAGCAGCCGCGGUAAUUCCAGCUCCAAUAGCGUAUAUUAAAGUUGUUGCAGUUAAAAAGCUCGUAGUUGAACCUUGGGUCUGGCUGGCCGGUCCGCCUCACCGCGUGCACUGGUCCGGCCGGGCCUUUCCUUCUGGGGAGCCCCAUGGCCUUCACUGGCUGUGGGGGGGAACCAGGACUUUUACUGUGAAAAAACUUAGAGUGUUCAAAGCAGGCCUUUGCUCGGAUACAUUAGCAUGGAAUAAUAGAAUAGGA
rnacentral:rRNA from 1 species